GAUGAACGCUGGCGGCGUGCCUAAUACAUGCAAGUCGAGCGAACGGACGCGAAGUUUGCUUCUCUGAUGUUAGCGGCGGACGGGUGAGUAACACGUGGAUAACCUCCCUAUAAGACUGGGAUAACUUCGGGAAACCGUAGCUAAUACCGGAUAAUAUUUUGCACCGCAUGGUUCAAUAGUGAAAGACGGUCUUGCUGUCACUUAUAGAUGGAUCCGCGCUGCAUUAGCUAGUUGGUAAGGUAACGGCUUACCAAGGCAACGAUGCAUAGCCGACCUGGGAGGGUGGUCGGCGACACUGGAAGGGGAGCGCGGACCAGGCUCCUACGGGAGGCAGCAGUAGGGAAUCGUCCGCAAUGGGCGAGAACCUGGCGGAGCGAGGCCGCGUGAGAGAUGAAAAUGUUCGGAUCGUAAAACUCGGUUAUUAGGGGAGAACAGAUGUGUAAGUUGCUGUAGAGAUCUUGACGGUACCUAAUCAGAAAGCCACGGCUAACUACGUG
rnacentral:rRNA from 1 species